AAUUGCAGAAUUCCGCGAAUCAUCGAGUCUUUGAACGCAAGUUGCGCCCGAGGCUUGACCAAGGGCAUCCCUGCCAGAGCGUCACC
rnacentral:rRNA from 1 species